rnacentral:rRNA from 1 species
UAGCAAAAUCAUUUGCUUUUUAAUUGAAAGCGGGAAUGAACGGUUUCACAGAGGUAAGCUUUAAUUUUUUUAAUUAAAUAAUUUAUAGUUUAAGUAAAAAUACUUUAAAUUAUUUAAAGGGACGAUAAGACCCUAAAAGCUUUAUUUUAUACAUAAAAAAGAAGUAAAUAUACAAUUAAAAAAAUUAACUGGGGAAGUUAUUAUUUAAAUAUAAUAAUAUUAGUUAUCAAAUAAUACAAUUUAUAUUGGCAGUAAUUCUCUUUUCAAUAAAAAUAUUUAUAUUAGUUACUUUAGGGAUAACAGCAUAAUAGUUUUAGAAAGCUCAUAUUUAUAAAACUGAUUAUGACCUCGAUGUUGAAUUAAAAAUUCUCUAUAAGGAAAAAGGUAUACGAGAGGGUUUGUUCAACCUUUAAAUUUUUACAUGAUUU